CCUACGGGAGACAGCAGUAGGGAAUUUUCGUCAAUGGGCGCAAGCCUGAACGAGCGAUGCCGCGUGAGUGAAGAAGGCCUUCGGGUCGUAAAGCUCUGUUGCGGGGGAAAAAAGGCAGCAUCAGGAAAUGGGUGCUGACUGAUGGUGCCCCGCCAGAAAGUCACGGCUAACUACGUGCCAGCAGCCGCGGUAAUACGUAGGUGGCGAGCGUUAUCCGGAAGGAUUGGGCGAAAAGGGUGCGCAGGCGGUCCUGCAAGUCUGGAGUGAAACGCAUGAGCUCAACUCAUGCAUGGCUUUGGAAACUGGAGGACUGGAGAGCAGGAGAGGGCGGUGGAACUCCAUGUGUAGCGGUAAAAUGCGUAGAUAUAUGGAAGAACACCAGUGGCGAAGGCGGCCGCCUGGCCUGUUGCUGACGCUGAGGCACGAAAGCGUGGGGAGCAAAUAGGAUUAGAUACCCGUGUAGUC
rnacentral:rRNA from 1 species